GAGGGAGGGAGGAAAGAAAGAAAGUAAGAAAGAAAGAAAGAGAAAGAAAGAAGCAAGCAAGCAGACAAGACCUGUGUGGAUGGAAUCAAGUAAACAAGAUGAGAGAGGAGAAGGAAAAGAGGUCAGAGAAAUAGGAAUGAGAUAGGAAAGGGCUUUUGUAAGUCAUGGUAAAGAGUUGGGAUUUUAUCCCAAGUGAAGUGGGGAACCUGUAGAGGGUUUUGAGGAGAGAAAUGACAUACCUUUCCAAAGUGUCGCUCUGCGUGGUCUGGUAUUCUGUGAAGAACACACUUGGAGCAAGGGCAGGGGCAGGGAAAAUGGUUAAGAAGCCACUGCAGUAGUUUGGGCAAGAGACAGUGGUGACCUGGACGAGGCUGGUGGUGGUGGAACUGGUAAGAAGUGACCAGAUUCUGAGUAUAAUUUGAAAAUAAAGCUGACGGCGUUUGGUGUUGGAAUUCCACAGGGGGUAAGAGAAAAGUAAAUGAGCCAAAGAUGAUUCAAGGAUUUUUUCUGAAAAAAUUAGAAACCUGUGUUUUAAUUUGCUGAGUUGGGGAAAGGCAGGGAAGAGUAGAUUUAGUGAUGGGAUGAUGGAGACAUGAACCAAAAAUUCAGUUUGGGCAUCCUAGGUGUAAGAGUCCUAUUUGUGACAGGGGUGUCAAGCCCCACCCCAUUUCUUAUUGACUCACCUCAGAGUUCACCUGUAUGUGUGAUGGGCGAUUUCUAUAUGCCAAGUCAACUUCUCAUCUGAGACACCUGUACACAUUCUCCAGUACAGAGGAGCUUACUAGAUUGUGUGUGGGCCACCUAGAAGAGCUUAUGACUACUCCCAGGGGUAACCUACAUACAUUGAGGAACUAGGGGUAACUUACAUACAUUGAGGGACUACUUAUACAGCGGUUCCACACUCUCCAGAGGGACGAUGCCGAAACAUUUCCGUACCUCUUAGAAGGUCCCCAAGAAGAUUGAGCUCCAUUUACUCACAGCUUAUUAAUGCACACUUUCUUGACUUUACUCUCUCCCUGCUGCCCUAAGUGCAUAUAUUUAUUUCCACGCCUUCUCUCCAAAUUAAACACCCAUGCCAAGACUUUGUAGGGUCUGCCUGGGGGGGAUUUCACCUGAAGACUAUUAGAAAUCCAAGAAGGAGGUGGAUAUAACUAAUGGAAGGAUUAGUCUUUUACAAGACUAUUUGAAAGCCGUUUGCCCAAGAUCUGAAUAUGGCUAGGUUCCUAUACAUACUUAUUCCUUCUUCUGUGCCUCAUGUUCUCCUUUCCACGCGGACACACUGAUGGUGGUCAAUGAACAGUCUGAACUUUUAGCAGAAGCUACAGCAGGAUUUCUAGAUAGUGGUAGUUUGAAUAGUACUUGAUGACAAAUUGAUUACAACUAAGGGGAUCUUGAGGACUUCUCUUGAAUGUGCAUUUAUGUAGGAAGCACAUUGUUUUUCCUUCCCCAAAUGCUUAUUUUAGGUGGUUUUGGAAAAACUGGUGGAGAUUAUGAAGGGCUAGCCCAUGCGAUCUUUUGGUUGUUGUCAUUGCUCUUUAAUUGUGGUUUGUGCUCACUCAUACUUUUUCACUACCUUGGCUCAGAGUUCAAAGCAUGAGUUGUGUGACAUAGUGCAGCCAGCAGCAGGCAACGUCAAGACUGUACUCAUUUCCAAGCAAUUGUUUAAGGGAAGGUGAAAACAAAUAAUUUUCUCUCAUUUUUUUAAUGUUUGUUUAUUUAUUCUGAGAGAGAGAGGGAAAGAGAAUCGUAAGUAGGCUCUGCUCUGUCAGUACAGAACCCAGCACAGAGCUCCAUCUCAUGAAACUUGAGAUCAUGACCUGAGACAAACCCAAGAGUCAGAUGCUUAACAGACUAAGCCCCCCAGGUGCCCUCUCUCAUGUUUUGAUGAGAUAAAGGCACAAAUCUUCUUGCGUACAUUGUAUCCCAUUUCACAGUAAUUUGUCCUUUGCAGGAAAUAUCCAGAAUUUGGUUCUUCUUGCUGAGCCGUUAUUCAGUAAUUUUAAAUCAGUGGAAUCAUUUAUGUGCAUAAGAUUUUUUAGCCUAACUAAAGAGUUAACUCAAACACCUAAAAAUACCCCCAUUCUCACAUUACUAAAAUGGCAGUAUUCUUAUCAGUGACUCACAUGAAGUCUCAGGAGACUAAUACAUUUCCAUACGGUACUCAUAAUCAUACUAACAUUUCAUAAAUAAAUAGUUCUAUAUUUUUAAGAUAAAUAGGCAACAUUUGCUUUUGAAUAUAUUCUCCAAUUUUCAGUACUUGUUUUCUUUUGUCAAAUGGAGAAAUGGAAAAAGAACAAGUUUCUGAAAUAAUGGGGACAAAUAAUGCCAAUUUCUUAUUUAAAAAAUUUUUUUAACGUUUAUUUACUUUUGAGGCAGAGAGAGACAGAGCAUGAACGGGGGGAGGGUCAGAGAGAGAGGGAGACACAGAAUCCGAAGUAGGCUCCAGGCUCUGAGCCGUCAGCACAGAGCCCGAUGUGGGGCUUGAACUCACAGACCGUGAGAUCAUGACCUGAGCCAAAGUCAGCCGCCCAACCGACUGAGCCACCCAGGUGCCCCGCCAAUUUCUUAUUUUAAGAACUUCUUUUUAAAGCAUUGCCCAUUAAAAAACACAAUGAUGUGGCAGCUGGGUGUCUCAGUCAUUUAAGCACACGACUUCCAUUCAGGUCAUAAUCUCACAGUUCAUGAAUUCAAGACUCACAUCAGGCUCUCUGCUGUUAGAGCCUGCUUCAGAUCCUCUGUCUCCCUCUCUCUCUGCCUCUCCCCUGCCUGUUCUCUCUCUCUCUCUGUCUCACAAAUAAAUAAACAUUAAAAAAACACAUAACCGUGUAGAAUAUUUAUGUACAUCUUUAAUAACAGAGAUGUAGGAUACCAAGGCUGCAUGUCACCUGUGCCUGCAUAUGCACCCUCUGAAAGGUUUGGAAGUCACUCAUCAGGUGGUGAAGGAUAAUAAGCAAAAGGCUUCAUGGCUAGCCGAAGCUCCUGGCUCUUUCUUUGGGUGAAGGCAGAGUGAUGAGAACCUCUCUGUAGAAGAGGACACUCUGCAAACAUCUAGCUGUUUUCAUAGAAGAGAAUGUUCUCACAGACUGGCCUGAGGCGCUCCUCUUUGAAUCUAUAAAGCUUUCGGCAUUUUUCUUUUUGCUUUUUUCUGGCCCUGGCUCUUCCACCUCUAGGGGGCAGACCGCUCUGUCCUCUCUAGUGAAAUGUCUGCAGACCGCAUCAAGCUGCAUCUAAUUUGAUUUUAAAUCAUAUCAUCAUAGGUGUUAAAUGAUGUGCGUGCUUAUCUGGCUUUCCAGCACUUCUCUCUGUGACCCUUUCACAGCUCAGCAACGUGUAAACUAUAAGACCUACUUAAACUAAUAUAAAUUCAAAAGUUUUUAUUCAUGGACCUUUGGUUGAAAUCUCAUCAAACUAAAAACUUAAAAGUCCUGGUGGGAAAAAAGAAAUUUGGCUAUCUGAGUCUUUAGUAGCCUAUCUUUAGUUAUUAUAAACGUAAUUUCUGGGGCGCCUAGUGGCUCAGUCGGUUGGGUGGCCGACUACAGCUCAGGUCAUGAUCUCGCGGUCUGUGAGUUCAAGCCCCGCACUGGGCUCUGUGCUGACAGCUCAGAGCCUGGAUCCUGCUUCCAAUUCUGUGCCUCCCUCUCUCUUUGCCCCUUCCCUGCUUGCUCUCUCUCUCUGUCUCUCAAAAAUAAUAAACAUUAAAAAUUUUUUUAUAAAGUAAUUUCUAUUUGUUGUAAAAAAUUUUAACACUACAGAAAAGAAAGUUUAAAAAUGUCUAUGAUCCCAAUAUCCAGACAUAACACUGAAAACAUUUUGGUGUAUAUUUUAGCUAAUUAGAUUUAAUUGUAAAAUGCUUUUCAUGAGUAAUUAGAUUGUAUUUAGUAUUAGUAAUUUCAAAAUUCACUUCUUUUUUAUUGAAAUACUGUUGACAUAUAACACUGUACAAAUUUAAGGUGGCCAAGAUGUUGAUUUGAUACAUUUAUAUGUUGCAGUAUGAUUGCAUUGUAGCCCUAGCUAAAAUUUCUAUUCCUUCACAUAAUUAUCAGUUCUUUUUUUGUGUUGGGAGUAAUUAAGAUCCAGUUAAUUAGCUAGUUUGAUGCUCAUAAUACAGUAUUGUUAUCUAUAGUCACUAUGCUGUGCAUUGAAUCCCCAGGAUUUAUUUAAUAGUUGCAAGUUUGUACCCUUCAACCACACCACCCUCAACCCCAUCUGAUAAGCCCCAUUUUACUCUUUUUUAUGAGUUGACUUGUUCAGAUUCCACAUGUAAAUGAUAUUAUACAGUAUUUGUCUUUCUCUGACUACUUCACGUAAUAAUCCACAAGGCCCAGCCAUGUUGCUCCAAAUGCUGGGAUUUCCUUCUUUCCCGUGGCUGAAUAACAUCCCAUUAUAUACGCAUACUGCUUUCAUACUGCACUCCUCAACAAAGUAUUAAUACCAACAUCUUGAAAAAGCCACUGCAUACUUUUUAUAGCUAUAUUUACUAUUCUCACUGAACUGCUGGAAUGAGGUUGUAUUAGAGUGGAAAAUACACAUCCUUAAAUGUACCUGAAAAGUUGAUUAUCUGAAUCUGAGACGCUCCACAGUCCUCAGAGCACGUGAACACCCUGACUCUGGACAUGACUCUGCAUCACUUGCUCUUUGACUGGAUUCCUUUUCAAGUAUCAACUCUAAACAUGAGCUAAGAGUAUUCAGUACUUAUUUGUAUUAAGUUCUUCAGUAUCAUGGAGACUAAAAUUAGGUUUCCUCUGUCAGUCUUGUGGUGUUGUUUGACCUUGACCUGCAUGUCAAAUUGUUGAGAAGGUAGCAAGCUGACUUUUCCGUAGGCACAUCAGAAAUAGUAGGUGAAAAACAUAUUAAGUGAUGUUGGGAUUUUCUAUUUCAUUUAUUACUGUAAUUACUUCUCUUUCUUGUCAAUAACAAGCUAGACUUAACAUUUAUAUAAAAUUCAUUAAAAAUAUAACAAAAGGAAAUAAAAAAUUAAACCGAUAGAAAAACUAGAAAAUUUGCACUUAUUGAAACACCAGAUUUAUAGAUUUUAUAGGAUAUUUUGUAUAAUAUUGAUAACUCUGGAAUAUUCCCAAUCAUCCCAUUCCUAACCACCUGAAUGAACUCAUAAUUUACUAAAAAUUACCGUGUAUAAAAAAAUUCUGAAAGCAUAUUACCUAGAACUAAACUGGAAAAAAACCUCAUGGUUAACCAUUUUAUCACUUAAAGGAUAUUGAUUUGCAUAAUUCAUAAUCUUUCACUGUAUCUUUAAUGUUUAUGUUUUACCAUAACUUAUUUUUGCUCAUGAGAUAUAGGGAUUCACAUUUACUAUGUUCUUUAUAUUACAUAGAAAAAAAAGAAA